rnacentral:rRNA from 1 species
UACGUAGGGGGCGAGCGUUGUCCGGAGUUACUGGGCGUAAAGCGCACGCAGGCGGUCUGCUAAGUUUGGAGUGACAGUUGGUGGCUUAACUGCCAAAGUGCUUCGAAAACUGACAGACUUGAGGGCUUCAGAGGGACACGGAAUUCCGGGUGGAGUGGUGAAAUGCGUAGAGAUCCGGAGGAACACCAAAGGCGAAGGCAGUGUCCCUGGGGAGUACCUGACGCUCAGGUGCGAAAGCCAGGGGAGCGAACGGG